rnacentral:rRNA from 1 species
GGGACGAACGCUGGCGGCGUGCUUAACACAUGCAAGUCGAGCGGUAAGGCUCCUUCGGGAGUACACGAGCGGCGAACGGGUGAGUAACACGUGAGCAAUCUGCCCUUCUCUUCGGAAUAACCAUUGGAAACGAUGGCUAAUGCCGAAUACGACCUCCUUUCGCAUGAUCGGAGGUGGAAAGCUCCGGCGGAGAAGGAUGAGCUCGCGGCCUAUCAGCUAGUUGGCGGGGUAACGGCCCACCAAGGCGACGACGGGUAGCCGGCCUGAGAGGGUGACCGGCCACACUGGGACUGAGACACGGCCCAGGCUCCUACGGGAGGCAGCAGUGGGGAAUAUUGGACAAUGGGCGAAAGCCUGAUCCAGCAACGCCGCGUGAGGGAUGACGGCCUGGGUGUAAACCUCUUCAGCAGGACGAAGCGAAAGUGACGUACCUGCAGAAGAAGACCGGCCAACUACGUGCCAGCAGCCGC